UGGGGAAUUUUGCACAAUGGGGGAAACCCUGAUGCAGCGACGCCGCGUGAUUUAGAAGGCCUUCGGGUUGUAAAAAUCUUUUCUAUGGGAAGAAAAUGAAAGUACCAUAGGAAUAAGGACCGGCUAAUUACGUUCUAGCAGCCGCGGUAAUACGUAAGGUCCGAGCGUUGUCCGGAAUCAUUGGGCGUAAAGGGUACGUAGGCGGGUAAGCAAGCUAGAAGUGAAAUCCUAUAGCUCAACUAUAGUAAGCUUUUAAAACUGCUCAUCUUGAGGUAUGGAAGGGAAAGUGGAAUUCCUAGUGUAGCGGUGAAAUGCGCAGAUAUUAGGAGGAAUACCGGUGGCGAAGGCGACUUUCUGGCCAUAACCUGACGCUGAGGUACGAAAGCGUGGGUAGCAAACAGG
rnacentral:rRNA from 1 species